rnacentral:lncRNA from 1 species
CCCCUAUUAGUCUUUGUUAAAUUUGCACUUUUCCAACAAAUCUGUAGAACUUAUUUUGUUUCAAAUAAAGAAAUACUUGGCAUGAGUAAAGUUUUAUCCUGUCCAGUACUAUAGAAAAACAAUCACAUAACAUUUCAUUGCAUAUAAGAAAAUAACCAUACCUGGAAGUUAACCAAUCAAAUGUCUGCUCUUAUUUUAUCUGUGUACAAGGUAUAGUCACCAUGUAACCUCAAGAUUACAAAAUAUUUAAUAGAAAUAUCAAAUAAAAAAAUAAUGGAGCUUUGAA